GCCGGGUGCGGUGGCUCACACCUGUAAUCCUAGCACUUUGGGAGGCCGAGAUGGGUGGAUCAUCUGAGGUCAGGAGUUCGAGACCAGCCUGGCCAACAUGGUGAAACCCCAUCUCUA
rnacentral:sRNA from 1 species